CGCAUUUGGAUAUUAAGAGAAAGUUCGACUUUGAAUUGAUCUCGCUGGCAAAGGUUGGAACUAAGAGAGUUGGGUGGGAGAUCAGCUCCCCAUAUAUGUAUGUUUGAGUAUGGGUUUGACAUGAGUGUGUGAGUGCUCCAGAUUAUCUUUGACGUGACUUAAUAUGAUUUGUAUGAAGAUGAUGCAUUUCAUUUCCAAUGAUGCAUUUCAUUUCAAGAAUUAGAUAGUUAUAGAGAUUAUAUAUAAAAUAAAUAUUUACUUUCUGAGUUGAUGCUCACUCUUGUUCACUAUUUUUUCA
rnacentral:misc_RNA from 1 species